rnacentral:rRNA from 1 species
AUUGAACGCUGGCGGCAGGCCUAACACAUGCAAGUCGAGCGGAGCGCCGGCCGGGUGAGUAAUGCCUAGGUAUCUGCCUGUUGGUGGGGGAUGACUACUGGAAACGGUAGCUAAUACCGCAUACCCUCGGAUUCACCCAUAUGGGAUUAGCUAGUAGGUGGGGUAAAGGCUCACCUAGGCGACGAUCCCUAGCUGGUCGGAGAGGAUGAUCAGUCACACUGGAACUGAGACACGGUCCAGACUCCUACGGGAGGCAGCAGUGGGGAAUAUUGGACAAUGGGCGCAAGCCUGAUCCAGCCAUGCCGCGUGUGUGAAGAAGGCCUUCGGAUUGUAAAGCACUUUAAGUUGGGAGGCGUUACCAACAGAAUAAGCACCGGCUAACUCCGUGCCAGCAGCCGCGGUAAUUC